UGUGCACGUGCAUGUUUUUCUUUAACUUGCAGACAAAGACUUACAGACAGGUUCCAGAAAUAAAUCCUCUUUUGCAACCCAGAGCUCAUUGUUCAGCAUGAGUUUUGAUACAAAUAAGAGGAGAUAUU
ensembl:snoRNA